ACACGUGUAAGUAGAGACAUGAUGUCACAAAAGGGAAUAAACACGCCAACAACUUGAAAGAGUCUGAAGCACUUCAAUCCACUUUUCCUAUCAUGGGAUUCACUUGCAAGGUCUGAAUUUCGACUCAGCUGAGUAGCACCCCUUUUGGAAAGCUACCCCUCAGCGACUCCUCACCACCUGCAGGGUUCACUGCUUCUCCUACGAUGCUCCCAAGACCCACGAUGUACUACUAAGGACGAAUUACCUCACAGUGCUGGGAUCCUCUCUCUCAUUCCUACCCAUGAAAAUGUCAAGUCUCUGAGAGCAAAAUGUUUGUUCAUCUUUGUAUUCCCAAUGCUUAGCACCGUAUUGUAAAAAACACCCAGGAUAUGCUCAGUUUUACAAAGGUUAAUAAAGUCUCGAGGGAAAUCUCAAGCUAAACACCUCAAUGUCCAGAUGGUAGCAGCUGAUAAACUGGCUCAGUGUCCUCCGGGUAGUUGUGACUUAAUACAGAGACCUCUCAGGAAACGACAGCCGCGCCUUGUUUUACCCAAUUCUGCCUGCAGGGGACGCUGUGGACGGAGGCCU